rnacentral:rRNA from 1 species
UACGAAGGGGGCUAGCGUUGUUCGGAAUUACUGGGCGUAAAGCGCGUGUAGGCGGGUCUUUAAGUCAGGGGUGAAAUGCCAAGGCUCAACCUUGGAACUGCCUUUGAUACUGGAGACCUUGAGUCCGGGAGAGGUGAGUGGAAUUGCGAGUGUAGAGGUGAAAUUCGUAGAUAUUCGGAAGAACACCAGUGGCGAAGGCGGCUCACUGGCCCGGUACUGACGCUGAGGUGCGAAAGCGUGGGGAGCAAACAGG